rnacentral:SRP_RNA from 1 species
GCACUAGUCGGGGAGCCAGCGGUGCCCUGUAACCUGCAAUCCGCUACAGCAGGGAUGAAUUCCCGACCGAGGGCUGUUUCUUGUGUCGUCUGACUCCGGUAAGCAGUGUUGACGAUCCGGUCCCGCGCAACGGAAACCCGUGAACCAUGUCAGGCGGGGAACCGAGCAGCAUUAAGCGGUGCAUUUCGUGUGCCGCGGGGGUGCCGGGUCCGAGCCGGCUGCCGGCUUAACGGGCAUGAGGGGAGACCCGGAGAAGGGUG